AGAGUUUGAUCCUGGCUCAGGACGAACGCUGGCGGCGUGCUUAACACAUGCAAGUCGAACGAGAUGUCUUCGGAUGUCUAGUGGCGAACGGGUGAGUAACACGUGAGCAACCUGCCCUUGGCUCUGGGAUAGCCUCCGGAAACGGGGAUUAAUACCGGACAGGACCUGUGGUCGCAUGAUCUCGGGUGGAAAGUUUUUCGGCCAGGGAGGGGCUCGCGGCCUAUCAGCUUGUUGGGGGGGUGACGGCCCACCAAGGCGACGACGGGUAGCCGGCCUGAGAGGGCGACCGGCCACACUGGGACUGAGACACGGCCCAGACUCCUACGGGAGGCAGCAGUGGGGAAUAUUGCACAAUGGGCGCAAGCCUGAUGCAGCGACGCCGCGUGCGGGAUGAAGGCCUUCGGGUUGUAAACCGCUUUCAGCAGGGGCGAAUUUUGACGGUACCUGCAGAAGAAGCGCCGGCUAACUACGUGCCAGCAGCCGCGGUAAUAC
rnacentral:rRNA from 1 species